UGGCGAUGAGUUGAAUUUAUCCGCGCUUCUGAGUUUAUGAACCAUGAAGAACACAAGUCAAUGGUUGAAUAUGUUACUAUGAGCCA
rnacentral:snoRNA from 1 species